AGUGAACGCUGGCGGUAGGCCUAACACAUGCAAGUCGAACGGCAGCACAGUAAGAGCUUGCUCUUACGGGUGGCGAGUGGCGGACGGGUGAGGUAUACAUCGGAAUCUACUUUUUCGUGGGGGAUAACGUAGGGAAACUUACGCUAAUACCGCAUACGACCUACGGGUGAAAGCAGGGGAUCUUCGGACCUUGCGCGAUUGAAUGAGCCGAUGUCGGAUUAGCUAGUUCGCGGGGUAAAGGCCCACCAAGGCGACGAUCCGUAGCUGGUCUGAGAGGAUGAUCAGCCACACUGGAACUGAGACACGGUCCAGACUCCUACGGGAGGCAGCAGUGGGGAAUAUUGGACAAUGGGCGCAAGCCUGAUCCAGCCAUACCGCGUGGGUGAAGAAGGCCUUCGGGUUGUAAAGCCCUUUUGUUGGGAAAGAAAAGCAGCAGGUUAAUACCCCGCUGUUCUGACGGUACCCAAAGAAUAAGCACCGGCUAACUUCGUG
rnacentral:rRNA from 1 species